CGUAACAAGGUCUCCGUUGGUGAACCAGCGGAGGGAUCAUUACCGAGUUAUACAACUCAUCAACCCUGUGAACAUACCUAAAACGUUGCUUCGGCGGGAACAGACGGCCCUGUAACAACGGGCCGCCCCCGCCAGAGGACCCCUAACUCUGUUUUUAUAAUGUUUUUCUGAGUAAACAAGCAAAUAAAUUAAAACUUUCAACAACGGAUCUCUUGGCUCUGGCAUCGAUGAAGAACGCAGCGAAAUGCGAUAAGUAAUGUGAAUUGCAGAAUUCAGUGAAUCAUCGAAUCUUUGAACGCACAUUGCGCCCGCCAGUAUUCUGGCGGGCAUGCCUGUUCGAGCGUCAUUACAACCCUCAGGCCCCCGGGCCUGGCGUUGGGGAUCGGCGGAAGCCCCCUGUGGGCACACGCCGUCCCUCAAAUACAGUGGCGGUCCCGCCGCAGCUUCCAUUGCGUAGUAGCUAACACCUCGCAACUGGAGAGCGGCGCGGCCAUGCCGUAAAACACCCAACUUCUGAAUGUUGACCUCGAAUCAGGUAGGAAUACCCGCUGAACUUAAGCAUAUCAA
rnacentral:rRNA from 1 species